GGAUAAUAUUUACAUGCCCUGCUUGAAAAUUAGGAACCAAGCUCUAUUUGCUACUGGAGUGGAUAGGAAAAUAUUAGAGCAAGGAUGAGGAGGAAAAGAAUGACGGGAAGGUGUGGAGGGUGUGGGCGGUUGGAGCCGUAGUCAAACAGGUGGGAGAAAGUAUUCUUGAGCAUGCAUAUUAGAAUGAGAUGGAUAAUCUCUGGGGAGUAUGUCCCAAACAUUCAGUGCUGAGGGAGGGCAUCAGUGGACAGGGGUGAGAAAACUGGUUCAG